CUACGGGUUGCAGCAGUGAGGAAUAUUGCACAAUGGGGGGAACCCUGAUGCAGCAACGCCGCGUGGAGGAUGACGCAUUUCGGUAUGUAAACUCCUUUUAUAUGUCAAGAAAAUGACGGUAGGAUAUGAAUAAGCACCGGCUAACUCCGUGCCAGCAGCCGCGGUAAUAGGAGGGUGCAAGCGUUACUCGGAAUCACUGGGCGUAAAGGACGCGUAGGCGGGUUGGAAAGUCAGGUGUGAAAUCCUACAGCUUAACUGUAGAACUGCACUUGAAACUUCUAAUCUAGAGUAUGGGAGGGGGGGAUGGAAUUAGUGGUGUAGGGGUAAAAUCCGUAGAUAUCACUAGGAAUACCUAAAGCGAAGGCGAUCUCCUGGAACAUUACUGACGCUAAGGCGUGAAAGCGUGGGGAGCAAACAGGAUUAGAUACCCCGGUAGUC
rnacentral:rRNA from 1 species